rnacentral:rRNA from 1 species
GACGAACGCUGGCGGCGUGCUUAACACAUGCAAGUCGAACGGAAAGGCCCUGCUUUUGUGGGGUGCUCGAGUGGCGAACGGGUGAGUAACACGUGAGUAACCUGCCCUUGACUUUGGGAUAACUUCAGGAAACUGGGGCUAAUACCGGAUAGGAGCUCCUGCUGCAUGGUGGGGGUUGGAAAGUUUCGGCGGUUGGGGAUGGACUCGCGGCUUAUCAGCUUGUUGGUGGGGUAGUGGCUUACCAAGGCUUUGGCGGGUAGCCGGCCUGAGAGGGUGACCGGCCACCUUGGGACUGCGAUACGGCCCAGACUCCUACGGUAGGCAGCAGUGGGGAAUAUUGCACAAUGGGCGGAAGCCUGAUGCAGCAACGCCGCGUGCGGGAUGACGGCCUUCGGGUUGUAAACCGCUUUCGCCUGUGACGAAGCGUGAGUGACGGUAAUGGGUAAAGAAGCACCGGCUAACUACGUG